rnacentral:rRNA from 1 species
UACAGAGGGGGCAAGCGUUAUUCGGAAUUAUUGGGCGUAAAGGGCGCGUAGGCGGCUUGGCAAGUGGAAGGUGAAAUCCCUCGGCUUAACCGAGGAACUGCCCUCCAAACUGCUUUGCUUGAGGCCGGGAGAGGUGAGUGGAAUUCCCAGUGUAGCGGUGAAAUGCGUAGAUAUUGGGAGGAACACCAGUGGCGAAGGCGGCUCACUGGACCGGUAUUGACGCUGAGGCGCGAAAGCCAGGGGAGCAAACGGG